rnacentral:misc_RNA from 1 species
AAAAGGUUGUUCUAGCGAGCAAUAUAGUAAGUCGACAUCAUACAUCCAUAGUUCUAACAGGAGAGAAGAAGUAAGGAAAAUGUUGCACAAGGAAGUGAACCAAGAGAUGCUGAUUUGGGGGUUCUUGAUUAUUGUGUUCACCUUUGAAGCUGUGGACAGUUUACCCCAGGAGAAGGUGCACUCUGAUGGGAGACGGGUUUGCACGUACCAAGGCGAUAGAAUAGAACUAAUACCAACGAGGCAAUCCUACCGACGGCCAUUUUACAGCCCAAAGCUGUGUUCGAAUAACGAUACAUGUGAAAACUCCACAAGGGUCUACAUGAGGAUAGCCUAUAGAACAGUGUUCCGCAAACGAGUGAUUCCGGGGGAGUACAAGCGAUGCUGUCCGGGAUGGACCAAAGAGAACCCACGGGAUCUGGCUUGUUUGGCGCGUAAGAAAAGACCUAUUAAUUUAUAUGGAGUUUUGUUACUUUUCUAACAACAUUAUCUAGUAACACACAUUAAAACGGCACAUCGUUGAAAUCUAUAAAAUAAUGUAUUCUUGAAAAGCUUUGUUGGUCUAUUUGUUAGUUAUAUACAUUUGGUGUAUGCAAAAGUGUAAACACUUAAAUCGCACACAUUUUCAGCGCAAAAUGUAUUUUUAUAAUUGAAACACAUUAAAUUCGUUACAUAUCAAUUUUAUAGCCAUUUGUCGACACGGGUGCCAAAAUGGCGGAAUUUGUGUUGGACCAAACCAAUGUGAAUGUCCACCGUAUUACACCGGACAUCAAUGCGAGAAAGACGUAGAUGAGUGUUUGACAGGACGAAGCAGUUGUCAACAAAUUUGCAAAAACACGAUCGGUGGAUUUGAAUGUGGAUGUUUCCAUGGGUUCAAAUCAGUUGAUAGCUAUAAAUGCGAAUUUUGCCCAUUGUGUUUGCCUCAGUUGGAAACGAUGAUGAACCAAGUCAACACUUUGCAAGGUCGAAUAAACAUGGUAGAGAAAGAAAAAGAGGAGAUGCGGGGUAAUUUCUCAGUGUUAGAGAGGUACUACAAUGAUGCCAUGGUGCAAGUGGAGGAACUGAAAUCCUACACAACACCGCCACCCACUACCACAACUGAAGACCCAUACGAAUUUGACAUAAUUUCCUCCCUCAGUGAUCAGAUUUCCCAUUUAGAAGAGAAAAUUGGGUCAUGUGACUGCGGUUCUAGAGGUAGAAACUCAAGGCGGCCAAGAUACAGAAAUGGAAGAUGAAUAAAACAGAGGAGUUCCAUAAAUAUAUUCUAGUCUAUGAUGGUCAAUUAUAUAAUUAUCUCUUAAUUCAAAACGUAACAGUAUCAAAACCAAGAAAUGAAAUUUAAUUUCAUUCCAUGCAAUCCCUCAUAUUGGCAUAUCUUAAGAUCAAAAUUGGAUGCAUGAUUUGCCUAUUUUGAUUUUUAAAAAUUGUACGUAUCAAAUACAUAGACAACUAUAACUAAACAAGUUUGAUACACAAAUUUAUUACAUGAUUUGUUUUGAAACAUCACAAAUUCAUUAAAUAAAGUUCAACAAAUUUUAGAAAUGAUUUCUUACCGGCCCAUGCCAUCAAUAGCGUAUGUAUGUAUGUGUGUUUUGUGUAUGAGUUAAUGCACUAGGAUGAACCAGCAACCACAUGUAAAUGUUACAUUAUAUAGCACAACAUACACAGUGAGGUAUACAUCUGAGAUGUCCAUAUUUACAACACAAAAUCUAACAAUUUGGUAGGGAAUGUAAACGAUUUAAACAUCACAAAAAGAUAGAAAAGUACAAAAGCUACAAAGUACAUGUCUAGCACAAGAAUUUAUAAAUUGUUAUAAGUGCUGUAAAGCUUAAUUAUACAAACAACUUGUGUAUAUUUUGAUACUAAAAUUGUCAAAAAUGUCAUGAAAUAUCUUUUAAGUUUACAUGUAUAUACUGUAAUAUACUUGAAUCAAUGAAUAUUUUGUCAAAAAAUGAAAUUUGCCUGUAAUUAGACAAAACAACACAGAAUCAAAGUAGCUAUUGUUUCUUGUUGAAAUGUUAAUUUGUUCAUUGUUUGAAAACUGUCAGAGCUAAAACUUGGUAGCUCUAAUUAUAAAUAAGUAGAUGCACUUCAGUAUAAGCUUCAAGCCUACUUCUUAUUACGCAUAACAGAUGCUGACAUUUUAAAUUCCAAUUAAAUCAUGGCAGGCUGUUGAUACAAACGGAUAUUUUAACCAUUAAAUGCUCUUUAGAAGAGAACUUUUUCAUAUUCAUAAAUUGAACACAAAAUAAUUUUGACAUCAACAUAUUAUUUAUCUGUAAAAGUGUAUUUACUUGCACUUCUUUUAUUUAUUUCUUAAUAUAAUAAUGCAUUUUAUUUUAUCUAUUUAUUUCAUAUAUUGAGUCAUAUGUUACCUAAGUUACAUUGUAUAUAUAUGGUAAUUUUCAUUUAAUAAAUAAAAAUUAUCAUUUAU